UGCUCCUAUCAAGCCUACCAACAAUCCCCGCUUGGAAUGAACAGCCGCAACCAUGGCAGGGCGCACAGAUAUGAUGUCGAAGAGAGAGCUACAGUCGCAGCUGCGGCUUGCGGACUCAGUCCUCUGGACAGAUAGCACGGCUGUUCUUAAGAACAUCAACAAUGAAAAAACUAGGUUCCGCACAUUCGUUGCCAACAGAGUGUCAGAAAUACUGACAGUGUCAAUCGUGGCAACAGAUGACAGACAAGAUGCAAUGGAGCAACUUAUAGAGCACUACUCCCCAUGGACACGCCGUUUCAUUGCAAGAACAAGUCAAGUUAUGGAACUGUAUUCAGAACCCACGGCAAUCGAAAAACUGUUUGUUAGCAUCUGAAAUCUUGGCAUUUGGAAAGCAGGUGAGUUGGGCGCUGCGUAACCUUCCCGCAUGUCCUGUAAGUUUCCGUAGUGUAGUGGUUAUCACGUUCGCCUAACACACGAAAGGUCCCCGGUUCGAAACUGGGCGGAAACAGAUGGACGUCCCCUCCUGCUUGACUCAGACGCUCAAUGGUGGCCCACUUAAACCCGCUUGAAUACUGAGUUCAAGGGGCUGGUAGACAUUUGUUAUCAGAAGCCCUCCCAUAACAUACCAAUAACAUUCCCAAAUCCCAUUUUAGCAGGCCCGGCUUAAAGGCAAGGAAUCCAUCUCCUGUCCUUCUCUGUGUACACCAUGGAAUAGGGUUCGGUGGUAGAGAAAGGUGACGUGAAGGGGUAACUUGAGUCCCAGUCAGAAUUUCUCAUCCCUUUUUUCUUUUCUUGUUUUUUCCUCUGGCAGAUUGAGGCCCUCUUUGCAUGCAAUCUCAUUCAUUUGACCUCCUCCUUUGUAGGAUGGAAGGCUGACAGUUUGUCAGCUCACCUGGGCUGGAGAGCAGGAUGAGCUCAAAGCCCCCGGUCUUUGUGGGCUUAAAAUCAGCUGCUGGAGCAAAGGAAUAAUCUCCCCGUCGGGGAAUCGAACCCCGGUCUUCCGCGUGACAGGCGGAGAUACUGUCCACUAUACUAACGAGGACUCUCGCGUUGCCACCUUCAGCGCGUCGAGCGCGGGCAUCGCUGAGUACCAGUGUUUACCAGGCGUACACAAAGGGUCUGAAAGAAGCAUGGCCAACUGCUGGGUGUCGUUUACAUCAGGGUUCCGUAACACUUCCGUUUCAGAAUCGUCCUCCAAGUCAAAACCGCCCACCAGAAGAAACCUCCUUUCCCUGGUGAGCUACAUCUACCAUCCAUUGGGUAUCUUAGCACCAGUGCUUCUGCCAGCUAAAAGGAUCCUGCAAGAGCUCUGCGGGUUAAAGCUCAGCUGGGAUGACAUUGUACAAACUCGUCUUGCUCAGCAGUGGUUUGACUGGUUCAAGCAACUGCAACUACUCAGUGACUUGGGAGUUGACAGGUGUUUCAAACCAGCACAUUUUGGAGACCCUACCUUUACUCAGCUGCAUCAUUUCAGUGAUGUUAGUGAAGAAGGUUAUGGAGCAGUGACCUACCUAGUCCUGCGAAACAGCAGCAAUCAGGUCCACAUCGCCCUUGUCAUGGGUAAAGCAAGGGUUGCUCCUAUCAAGCCUACUAACAAUCCCCGCUUGGAAUGAACAGCCGCAACCAUGGCAGGGCGCACAGAUAUGAUGUAGAAGAGAGAGCUACAGUCGCAGCUGCGGCUUGCGGACUCAGUCCUCUGGACAGAUAGCACGGCUGUUCUUAAGAACAUCAACAAUGAAACAACUAGGUUCCGCACAUUUGUUGCCAACAGAGCGUCAGAAAUACUGACAGUGUCAAUCGUGGCAACAGAUGACAGACAAGAUGCAAUGGAGCAACUUAUAGAGCACUACUCCCCAUGGACACGCCGUUUCAUUGCAAGAACAAGUCAAGUUAUGGAACUGUAUUCAGAACCCACGGCAAUCGAAAAACUGUUUGUUAGCAUCUGAAAUCUUGGCAUUUGGAAAGCAGGUGAGUUGGGCGCUGCGUAACCUUCCCGCAUGUCCUGUAAGUUUCCGUAGUGUAGUGGUUAUCACGUUCGCCUCACACGCGAAAGCUCCUCGGUUCGAAACCGGGCGGAAACAGAUGGACGUCCCCUCCUGCUUGACUCAGACGCUCAAUGGUGGCCCACUUAAACCCGCUUGAAUACUGAGUUCAAGGGGCUGGUAGACAUUUGUUAUCAGAGGCCCUCCCAUUACAUACCAAUAACAUUCCCAAAUCCCAUUUAAGCAGGCCCGGCUUAAAGGCAAGGAAUCCAUCUCCUGUCCUUCUCUGUGUACACCAUGGAAUAGGGUUCGGUGGUAGAGAAAGGUGACGUGAAGGGGUAACUUGAGUCCCAGUCAGAAUUUCUCAUCCCUUUUUUUCUUUUCUUGUUUUUUCCUCUGGCAGAUUGAGGCCCUCUUUGCAUGCAAUCUCAUUCAUUUGACCUCCUCCUUUGUAGGAUGGAAGGCUGACAGUUUGUCAGCUCACCUGGGCUGGAGAGCAGGAUGAGCUCCAAGCCCCCGGUCCAUGUGGGCUUAAAAUCAGCUGCUGGAGCAAAGGAAUAAUCUCCCCGUCGGGGAAUCGAACCCCGGUCUUCCGCGUGACAGGCGGAGAUACUGUCCACUAUACUAACGAGGACUCUCGCGUUGCCACCUUCAGCGCAUCGAGCGCGGGCAUCGCUGAGUACCAGUGUUUACCAGGCGUACACAAAGGGUCUGAAAGAAGCAUGGCCAACUGCUGGGUGUCGUUUACAUCAGGGUUCCGUAACACUUCCGUUUCAGAAUCGUCCUCCAAGUCAAAACCGCCCACCAGAAGAAACCUCCUUUCCCUGGUGAGCUACAUCUACCAUCCAUUGGGUAUCUUAGCACCAGUGCUUCUGCCAGCUAAAAGGAUCCUGCAAGAGCUCUGCGGGUUAAAGCUCAGCUGGGAUGACAUUGUACAAACUCGUCUUGCUCAGCAGUGGUUUGACUGGUUCAAGCAACUGCAACUACUCAGUGACUUGGGAGUUGACAGGUGUUUCAAACCAGCACAUUUUGGAGACCCUACCUUUACUCAGCUGCAUCAUUUCAGUGAUGUUAGUGAAGAAGGUUAUGGAGCAGUGACCUACCUAGUCCUGCGAAACAGCAGCAAUCAGGUCCACAUCGCCCUUGUCAUGGGUAAAGCAAGGGUUGCUCCUAUCAAGCCUACUAACAAUCCCCGCUUGGAAUGAACAGCCGCAACCAUGGCAGGGCGCACAGAUAUGAUGUCGAAGAGAGCGCUACAGUCGCAGCUGCAGCUUGCGGACUCAGUCCUCUGGACAGAUAGCACGGCUGUUCUUAAGAACAUCAACAAUGAAACAACUAGGUUCCGCACAUUCGUUGCCAACAGAGUGUCAGAAAUACUGACAGUGUCAAUCGUGGCAACAGAUGACAGACAAGAUGCAAUGGAGCAACUUAUAGAGCACUACUCCCCAUGGACACGCCGUUUCAUUGCAAGAACAAGUCAAGUUAUGGAACUGUAUUCAGAACCCACGGCAAUCGAAAAACUGUUUGUUAGCAUCUGAAAUCUUGGCAUUUGGAAAGCAGGUGAGUUGGGCGCUGCGUAACCUUCCCGCAUGUCCUGUAAGUUUCCGUAGUGUAGCGGUUAUCACGUUCGCCUCACACGCGAAAGCUCCUCGGUUCGAAACCGGGCGGAAACAGAUGGACGUCCCCUCCUGCUUGACUCAGACGCUCAAUGGUGGCCCACUUAAACCCGCUUGAAUACUGAGUUCAAGGGGCUGGUAGACAUUUGUUAUCAGAAGCCCUCCCAUAACAUACCAAUAACAUUCCCAAAUCCCAUUUUAGCAGGCCCGGCUUAAAGGCAAGGAAUCCAUCUCCUGUCCUUCUCUGUGUACACCAUGGAAUAGGGUUCGGUGGUAGAGAAAGGUGACGUGAAGGGGUAACUUGAGUCCCAGUCAGAAUUUCUCAUCCCUUUUUUUCUUUUCUUGUUUUUUCCUCUGGCAGAUUGAGGCCCUCUUUGCAUGCAAUCUCAUUCAUUUGACCUCCUCCUUUGUAGGAUGGAAGGCUGACAGUUUGUCAGCUCACCUGGGCUGGAGAGCAGGAUGAGCUCCAAGCCCCCGGUCUUUGUGGGCUUAAAAUCAGCUGCUGGAGCAAAGGAAUAAGCUCCCCGUCGGUGAAUCGAACCCCGGUCUUCCGCGUGACAGGCGGAGAUACUGUCCACUAUACUAACGAGGACUCACGCGUUGCCACCUUCAGCGCGUCGAGCGCGGGCAUCGCUGAGUACCAGUGUUUACCAGGCGUACACAAAGGGUCUGAAAGAAGCAUGGCCAACUGCUGGGUGUCGUUUACAUCAGGGUUCCGUAACACUUCCGUUUCAGAAUCGUCCUCCAAGUCAAAACCGCCCACCAGAAGAAACCUCCUUUCCCUGGUGAGCUCCAUCUACCAUCCAUUGGGUAUCUUAGCACCAGUGCUUCUGCCAGCUAAAAGGAUCCUGCAAGAGCUCUGCAGGUUAAAGCUCAGCUGGGAUGACAUUGUACAAACUCGUCUUGCUCAGCAGUGGUUUGACUGGUUCAAGCAACUGCAACUACUCAGUGACUUGGGAGUUGACAGGUGUUUCAAACCAGCACAUUUUGGAGACCCUACCUUUACUCAGCUGCAUCAUUUCAGUGAUGCUAGUGAAGAAGGUUAUGGAGCAGUGACCUACCUAGUCCUGCGAAACAGCAGCAAUCAGGUCCACAUCGCCCUUGUCAUGGGUAAAGCAAGGGUUGCUCCUAUCAAGCCUACCAACAAUCCCCGCUUGGAAUGAACAGCCGCAACCAUGGCAGGGCGCACAGAUAUGAUGUCGAAGAGAGCGCUACAGUCGCAGCUGCGGCUUGCGGACUCAGUCCUCUGGACAGAUAGCACGGCUGUUCUUAAGAACAUCAACAAUGAAAAACUAGGUUCCGCACAUUCGUUGCCAACAGAGUGUCAGAAAUACUGACAGUGUCAAUCGUGGCAACAGAUGACAGACAAGAUGCAAUGGAGCAACUUAUAGAGCACUACUCCCCAUGGACACGCCGUUUCAUUGCAAGAACAAGUCAAGUUAUGGAACUGUAUUCAGAACCCACGGCAAUCGAAAAACUGUUUGUUAGCAUCUGAAAUCUUGGCAUUUGGAAAGCAGGUGAGUUGGGCGCUGCGUAACCUUCCCGCAUGUCCUGUAAGUUUCCGUAGUGUAGUGGUUAUCACGUUCGCCUCACACGCGAAAGGUCCCCGGUUCGAAACCGGGCGGAAACAGAUGGACGUCCCCUCCUGCUUGACUCAGACGCUCAAUGGUGGCCCACUUAAACCCGCUUGAAUACUGAGUUCAAGGGGCUGGUAGACAUUUGUUAUCAGAGGCCCUCCCAUAACAUACCAAUAACAUUCCCAAAUCCCAUUUUAGCAGGCCCGGCUUAAAGGCAAGGAAUCCAUCUCCUGUCCUUCUCUGUGUACACCAUGGAAUAGGGUUCGGUGGUAGAGAAAGGUGACGUGAAGGGGUAACUUGAGUCCCAGUCAGAAUUUCUCAUCCCUUUUUUCUUUUCUUGUUUUUUCCUCUGGCAGAUUGAGGCCCUCUUUGCAUGCAAUCUCAUUCAUUUGACCUCCUCCUUUGUAGGAUGGAAGGCUGACAGUUUGUCAGCUCACCUGGGCUGGAGAGCAGGAUGAGCUCCAAGCCCCCGGUCUUUGUGGGCUUAAAAUCAGCUGCUGGAGCAAAGGAAUAAUCUCCCCGUCGGGGAAUCGAACCCCGGUCUUCCGCGUGACAGGUGGAGAUACUGUCCACUAUACUAACGAGGACUCACGCGUUGCCACCUUCAGCGCUUCGAGCGCGGGCAUCGCUGAGUACCAGUGUUUACCAGGCGUACACAAAGGGUCUGAAAGAAGCAUGGCCAACUGCUGGGUGUCGUUUACAUCAGGGUUCCGUAACACUUCCGUUUCAGAAUCGUCCUCCAAGUCAAAACCGCCCACCAGAAGAAACCUCCUUUCCCUGGUGAGCUCCAUCUACCAUCCAUUGGGUAUCUUAGCACCAGUGCUUCUGCCAGCUAAAAGGAUCCUGCAAGAGCUCUGCAGGUUAAAGCUCAGCUGGGAUGACAUUGUACAAACUCGUCUUGCUCAGCAGUGGUUUGACUGGUUCAAGCAACUGCAACUACUCAGUGACUUGGGAGUUGACAGGUGUUUCAAACCAGCACAUUUUGGAGACCCUACCUUUACUCAUCUGCAUCAUUUCAGUGAUGCUAGUGAAGAAGGUUAUGGAGCAGUGACCUACCUAGUCCUGCGAAACAGCAGCAAUCAGGUCCACAUCGCCCUUGUCAUGGGUAAAGCAAGGGUUGCUCCUAUCAAGCCUACCAACAAUCCCCGCUUGGAAUGAACAGCCGCAACCAUGGCAGGGCGCACAGAUAUGAUGUCGAAGAGAGCGCUACAGUCGCAGCUGCAGCUUGCGGACUCAGUCCUCUGGACAGAUAGCACGGCUGUUCUUAAGAACAUCAACAAUGAAAAAACUAGGUUCCGCACAUUCGUUGCCAACAGAGUGUCAGAAAUACUGACAGUGUCAAUCGUGGCAACAGAUGACAGACAAGAUGCAAUGGAGCAACUUAUAGAGCACUACUCCCCAUGGACACGCCGUUUCAUUGCAAGAACAAGUCAAGUUAUGGAACUGUAUUCAGAACCCACUGCAAUCGAAAAACUGUUUGUUAGCAUCUGAAAUCUUGGCAUUUGGAAAGCAGGUGAGUUGGGCGCUGCGUAACCUUCCCGCAUGUCCUGUAAGUUUCCGUAGUGUAGUGGUUAUCACGUUGGCCUCACACGCAAAAGGUCCCCGGUUCGAAACCGGGCGGAAACAGAUGGACGUCCCCUCCUGCUUGACUCAGACGCUCAAUGGUGGCCCACUUAAACCCGCUUGAAUACUGAGUUCAAGGGGCUGGUAGACAUUUGUUAUCAGAGGCCCUCCCAUAACAUACCAAUAACAUUCCCAAAUCCCAUUUUAGCAGGCCCGGCUUAAAGGCAAGGAAUCCAUCUCCUGUCCUUCUCUGUGUACACCGUUGGAAUAGGGUUCGGUGGUAGAGAAAGGUGACGUGAAGGAGUAACUUGAGUCCCAGUCAGAAUUUCUCAUCCCUUUUUUUCUUUUCUUGUUUUUUCCUCUGGCAGAUUGAGGCCCUCUUUGCAUGCAAUCUCAUUCAUUUGACCUCCUCCUUUGUAGGAUGGAAGGCUGACAGUUUGUCAGCUCACCUGGGCUGGAGAGCAGGAUGAGCUCCAAGCCCCCGGUCUUUGUGGGCUUAAAAUCAGCUGCUGGAGCAAAGGAAUAAUCUCCCCGUCGGGGAAUCGAACCCCGGUCUUCCGCGUGACAGGCGGAGAUACUGUCCACUAUACUAACGAGGACUCACGCGUUGCCACCUUCAGCGCGUCGAGCGCGGGCAUCGCUGAGUACCAGUGUUUACCAGGCGUACACAAAGGGUCUGAAAGAAGCAUGGCCAACUGCUGGGUGUCGUUUACAUCAGGGUUCCGUAACACUUCCGUUUCAGAAUCGUCCUCCAAGUCAAAACCGCCCACCAGAAGAAACCUCCUUUCCCUGGUGAGCUCCAUCUACCAUCCAUUGGGUAUCUUAGCACCAGUGCUUCUGCCAGCUAAAAGGAUCCUGCAAGAGCUCUGCAGGUUAAAGCUCAGCUGGGAUGACAUUGUACAAACUCGUCUUGCUCAGCAGUGGUUUGACUGGUUCAAGCAACUGCAACUACUCAGUGACUUGGGAGUUGACAGGUGUUUCAAACCAGCACAUUUUGGAGACCCUACCUUUACUCAGCUGCAUCAUUUCAGUGAUGCUAGUGAAGAAGGUUAUGGAGCAGUGACCUACCUAGUCCUGCGAAACAGCAGCAAUCAGGUCCACAUCGCCCUUGUCAUGGGUAAAGCAAGGGUUGCUCCUAUCAAGCCUACCAACAAUCCCCGCUUGGAAUGAACAGCCGCAACCAUGGCAGGGCGCACAGAUAUGAUGUCGAAGAGAGAGCUACAGUCGCAGCUGCGGCUUGCGGACUCAGUCCUCUGGACAGAUAGCACGGCUGUUCUUAAGAACAUCAACAAUGAAAAAACUAGGUUCCGCACAUUCGUUGCCAACAGAGUGUCAGAAAUACUGACAGUGUCAAUCGUGGCAACAGAUGACAGACAAGAUGCAAUGGAGCAACUUAUAGAGCACUACUCCCCAUGGACACGCCGUUUCAUUGCAAGAACAAGUCAAGUUAUGGAACUGUAUUCAGAACCCACUGCAAUCGAAAAACUGUUUGUUAGCAUCUGAAAUCUUGGCAUUUGGAAAGCAGGUGAGUUGGGCGCUGUGUAACCUUCCCGCAUGUCCUGUAAGUUUCCGUAGUGUAGUGGUUAUCACGUUCGCCUAACACGCGAAAGGUCCCCAGUUCGAAACCGGGCGGAAACAGAUGGACGUCCCCUCCUGCUUGACUCAGACGCUCAAUGGUGGCCCACUUAAAAAUGCUUGAAUACUGAGUUCAAGGGGCUGGUAGACAUUUGUUAUCAGAAGGCCCUCCCAUAACAUACCAAUAACAUUCCCAAAUCCCAUUUUAGCAGGCCCGGCUUAAAGGCAAGGAAUCCAUCUCCUGUCCUUCUCUGUGUACACCAUGGAAUAGGGUUCGGUGGUAGAGAAAGGUGACGUGAAGGGGUAACUUGAGUCCCAGUCAGAAUUUCUCAUCCCUUUUUUUCUUUUCUUGUUUUUUCCUCUGGCAGAUUGAGGCCCUCUUUGCAUGCAAUCUCAUUCAUUUGACCUCCUCCUUUGUAGGAUGGAAGGCUGACAGUUUGUCAGCUCACCUGGGCUGGAGAGCAGGAUGAGCUCCAAGCCCCCGGUCUUUGUGGGCUUAAAAUCAGCUGCUGGAGCAAAGGAAUAAUCUCCCCGUCGGGGAAUCGAACCCCGGUCUUCCGCGUGACAGGCGGAGAUACUGUCCACUAUACUAACGAGGACUCACGCGUUGCCACCUUCAGCGCGUCGAGCGCGGGCAUCGCUGAGUACCAGUGUUUACCAGGCGUACACAAAGGGUCUGAAAGAAGCAUGGCCAACUGCUGGGUGUCGUUUACAUCAGGGUUCCGUAACACUUCCGUUUCAGAAUCGUCCUCCAAGUCAAAACCGCCCACCAGAAGAAACCUCCUUUCCCUGGUGAGCUCCAUCUACCAUCCAUUGGGUAUCUUAGCACCAGUGCUUCUGCCAGCUAAAAGGAUCCUGCAAGAGCUCUGCAGGUUAAAGCUCAGCUGGGAUGACAUUGUACAAACUCGUCUUGCUCAGCAGUGGUUUGACUGGUUCAAGCAACUGCAACUACUCAGUGACUUGGGAGUUGACAGGUGUUUCAAACCAGCACAUUUUGGAGACCCUACCUUUACUCAGCUGCAUCAUUUCAGUGAUGCUAGUGAAGAAGGUUAUGGAGCAGUGACCUACCUAGUCCUGCGAAACAGCAGCAAUCAGGUCCACAUCGCCCUUGUCAUGGGUAAAGCAAGGGUUGCUCCUAUCAAGCCUACCAACAAUCCCCGCUUGGAAUGAACAGCCGCAACCAUGGCAGGGCGCACAGAUAUGAUGUCGAAGAGAGAGCUACAGUCGCAGCUGCGGCUUGCGGACUCAGUCCUCUGGACAGAUAGCACGGCUGUUCUUAAGAACAUCAACAAUGAAAAAACUAGGUUCCGCACAUUCGUUGCCAACAGAGUGUCAGAAAUACUGACAGUGUCAAUCGUGGCAACAGAUGACAGACAAGAUGCAAUGGAGCAACUUAUAGAGCACUACUCCCCAUGGACACGCCGUUUCAUUGCAAGAACAAGUCAAGUUAUGGAACUGUAUUCAGAACCCACGGCAAUCGAAAAACUGUUUGUUAGCAUCUGAAAUCUUGGCAUUUGGAAAGCAGGUGAGUUGGGCGCUGUGUAACCUUCCCGCAUGUCCUGUAAUUUUCCGUAGUGUAGUGGUUAUCACGUUCGCCUAACACGCGAAAGGUCCCCGGUUCGAAACCGGGCGGAAACAGAUGGACGUCCCCUCCUGCUUGACUCAGACGCUCAAUGGUGGCCCACUUAAACCCGCUUGAAUACUGAGUUCAAGGGGCUGGUAGACAUUUGUUAUCAGAGGCCCUCCCAUAACAUACCAAUAACAUUCCCAAAUCCCAUUUUAGCAGGCCCGGCUUAAAGGCAAGGAAUCCAUCUCCUGUCCUUCUCUGUGUACACCAUGGAAUAGGGUUCGGUGGUAGAGAAAGGUGACGUGAAGGGGUAACUUGAGUCCCAGUCAGAAUUUCUCAUCCCUUUUUUUCUUUUCUUGUUUUUUCCUCUGGCAGAUUGAGGCCCUCUUUGCAUGCAAUCUCAUUCAUUUGACCUCCUCCUUUGUAGGAUGGAAGGCUGACAGUUUGUCAGCUCACCUGGGGCCUCAUGUAUCAAUACUUGCGUGGAACUCAUACCAGAAACGAGCGCACGCAAGGUUCGUCACGCUGAAAAAAAUCCGUAUGUAUCAAUGUGUGCGGGCGCCGAAAUCCACGUGUGUUUCAUUGAUAAAUCCCAAUCAGCGUGGAAUUGAGCGCAGAUGUCGGAGUGACUGGGCCCGCCCCCGUUACGCCCUCCUAUAAAUAUGCAGAUUUAUUUAAAUAGGGUCUCCCUGUCCUCGCACGCAGACAAAAUGACAAGAAAAACUAAAUUUACGGCGUGCGAGGUGGAGGUGCUGGUGGCGGAGGUGGAGGAGCGACAGCGUGUUUUGUUUGGCAGCCUGUCCAGUGGCGUCAGUGCAAAACAAAAACGCUUGGAGUGGGAGAAAGUUUGCGAGAGGGUGAAUGCGGUGGGUUCCGAGACACGCACCCCCGCGAAGAUUUAAAAAAAGUGGUCGGACCUCAAGGUGGAGGUCAAGCGGCGUACAGCUGCCCUCCGGAGGAGUACUGGCCAGACAGGUGGGGGUCCGGGGGAGGAGACCCUCACAACGUUUGAGCAGCGGGUGGUGGCGAUUAUUAUUAUAGGGUAAGUGGCGUGUCACACAAAUGUCCACAUGCUUUGUCAUCCCACUGAGCAAAAGACGUAUAUUAGACAUCUAGUCUAAGUUUAUACUUCAUUUCAACGUCGGGAUUCAGUCUAUUUUUAGACGUGAUUUAUACUUCGCCCUUAACUUCAUUUUUCGAUAACUUUUUAUGCAAUAAACAACUGUAAUGUGCAUAACUGACCUCGAAAUACUGGAUUACAUUACCUAUGAUACCGUGGAGAGAGAUGUAAACGCAACAGAUACACAGAAGCAGGAAUUGAAAUGAACAAAUAUUUUUAUUGUGUCACAGAAAUCAAUGUGUCGGCCAUGUCGCCGGCUUGCGGAACCCCGGCCCGCGGCAGCCCGUCCGCCGGCUCGGAGUCGUCGGCCAGGACCAGCGGCAUUCGGGCCACCCCGGCCCCCAGCACCAGCAUCAGCACCAGCGCGCCGACAAGCGGUGGAGCGUCCACCAGCCGCGGCGCUUCCGCUGGACCACCCGGACGCAGUGGAAGGGUCCUCGCGAAGGGGGUCCUGCAAUCGCAGGAAGAAAUCAUCAGGGGGAUCGCGGGGAUCAACGAGCGGCUGGACCGGCUCGUAAAUGUCCUCGAGCGUCUGGUGGAGAAAAUAAAUUAAUUUGGCUCAUUGAACUGUGUAUUCACUUCUUACCCAUUCACACUGGCGAUGAGAUUCUCCCGCGCGAGGACGGCGGCCCGGCAGGGAUCAGCUCGCAUCCCUCCGUCUGCUGCUGGUUCGUCAUGUGGGGCGACGUGCUGCUCGGCCACGGGGAUGUGGUGCACGCUUGUCACAUAGUGAGUCACCAAACACCGCCACACAGCGUCGCCAAAGUGCAAAUCACAGUCAACGCAAGUAUCAGCUCAACGCCAAUUUCUACACCACCUCCUGACUUUGCGUUGAUUAGCGCUGGAACCGACGCUCGUUUCGCGAUGAUAAAUCUGGACGUGUGCGCCGAUUUUGGCGUACGCAAGGUUUUCUUGCGCCGCAAGCGUUGAUACAUGAGGCCCCUGGGCUGGAGAGCAGGAUGAGCUCCAAGCCCCCGGUCUUUGUGGGCUUAAAAUCAGCUGCUGGAGCAAAGGAAUAAUCUCCCCGUCGGGGAAUCGAACCCCGGUCUUCCGCGUGACAGGCGGAGAUACUGUCCACUAUACUAACGAGGACUCACGCGUUGCCACCUUCAGCGCGUCGAGCGCGGGCAUCGCUGAGUACCAGUGUUUACCAGGCGUACACAAAGGGUCUGAAAGAAGCAUGGCCAACUGCUGGGUGUCGUUUACAUCAGGGUUCCGUAACACUUCCGUUUCAGAAUCGUCCUCCAAGUCAAAACCGCCCACCAGAAGAAACCUCCUUUCCCUGGUGAGCUCCAUCUACCAUCCAUUGGGUAUCUUAGCACCAGUGCUUCUGCCAGCUAAAAGGAUCCUGCAAGAGCUCUGCAGGUUAAAGCUCAGCUGGGAUGACAUUGUACAAACUCGUCUUGCUCAGCAGUGGUUUGACUGGUUCAAGCAACUGCAACUACUCAGUGACUUGGGAGUUGACAGGUGUUUCAAACCAGCACAUUUUGGAGACCCUACCUUUACUCAGCUGCAUCAUUUCAGUAAUGCUAGUGAAGAAGGUUAUGGAGCAGUGACCUACCUAGUCCUGCGAAACAGCAGCAAUCAGGUCCACAUCGCCCUUGUCAUGGGUAAAGCAAGGGUUGCUCCUAUCAAGCCUACCAACAAUCCCCGCUUGGAAUGAACAGCCGCAACCAUGGCAGGGCGCACAGAUAUGAUGUCGAAGAGAGAGCUACAGUCGCAGCUGCGGCUUGCGGACUCAGUCCUCUGGACAGAUAGCACGGCUGUUCUUAAGAACAUCAACAAUGAAAAAACUAGGUUCCGCACAUUCGUUGCCAACAGAGUGUCAGAAAUACUGACAGUGUCAAUCGUGGCAACAGAUGACAGACAAGAUGCAAUGGAGCAACUUAUAGAGCACUACUCCCCAUGGACACGCCGUUUCAUUGCAAGAACAAGUCAAGUUAUGGAACUGUAUUCAGAACCCACUGCAAUCGAAAAACUGUUUGUUAGCAUCUGAAAUCUUGGCAUUUGGAAAGCAGGUGAGUUGGGCGCUGUGUAACCUUCCCGCAUGUCCUGUAAGUUUCCGUAGUGUAGUGGUUAUCACGUUCGCCUAACACGCGAAAGGUCCCCGGUUCGAAACCGGGCGGAAACAGAUGGACGUCCCCUCCUGCUUGACUCAGACGCUCAAUGGUGGCCCACUUAAACCCGCUUGAAUACUGAGUUCAAGGGGCUGGUAGACAUUUGUUAUCAGAGGCCCUCCCAUAACAUACCAAUAACAUUCCCAAAUCCCAUUUUAGCAGGCCCGGCUUAAAGGCAAGGAAUCCAUCUCCUGUCCUUCUCUGUGUACACCAUGGAAUAGGGUUCGGUGGUAGAGAAAGGUGACGUGAAGGGGUAACUUGAGUCCCAGUCAGAAUUUCUCAUCCCUUUUUUUCUUUUCUUGUUUUUUCCUCUGGCAGAUUGAGGCCCUCUUUGCAUGCAAUCUCAUUCAUUUGACCUCCUCCUUUGUAGGAUGGAAGGCUGACAGUUUGUCAGCUCACCUGGGCUGGAGAGCAGGAUGAGCUCCAAGCCCCCGGUCUUUGUGGGCUUAAAAUCAGCUGCUGGAGCAAAGGAAUAAUCUCCCCGUCGGGGAAUCGAACCCCGGUCUUCCGCGUGACAGGCGGAGAUACUGUCCACUAUACUAACGAGGACUCACGCGUUGCCACCUUCAGCGCGUCGAGCGCGGGCAUCGCUGAGUACCAGUGUUUACCAGGCGUACACAAAGGGUCUGAAAGAAGCAUGGCCAACUGCUGGGUGUCGUUUACAUCAGGGUUCCGUAACACUUCCGUUUCAGAAUCGUCCUCCAAGUCAAAACCGCCCACCAGAAGAAACCUCCUUUCCCUGGUGAGCUCCAUCUACCAUCCAUUGGGUAUCUUAGCACCAGUGCUUCUGCCAGCUAAAAGGAUCCUGCAAGAGCUCUGCAGGUUAAAGCUCAGCUGGGAUGACAUUGUACAAACUCGUCUUGCUCAGCAGUGGUUUGACUGGUUCAAGCAACUGCAACUACUCAGUGACUUGGGAGUUGACAGGUGUUUCAAACCAGCACAUUUUGGAGACCCUACCUUUACUCAGCUGCAUCAUUUCAGUGAUGCUAGUGAAGAAGGUUAUGGAGCAGUGACCUACCUAGUCCUGCGAAACAGCAGCAAUCAGGUCCACAUCGCCCUUGUCAUGGGUAAAGCAAGGGUUGCUCCUAUCAAGCCUACCAACAAUCCCCGCUUGGAAUGAACAGCCGCAACCAUGGCAGGGCGCACAGAUAUGAUGUCGAAGAGAGAGCUACAGUCGCAGCUGCGGCUUGCGGACUCAGUCCUCUGGACAGAUAGCACGGCUGUUCUUAAGAACAUCAACAAUGAAAAAACUAGGUUCCGCACAUUCGUUGCCAACAGAGUGUCAGAAAUACUGACAGUGUCAAUCGUGGCAACAGAUGACAGACAAGAUGCAAUGGAGCAACUUAUAGAGCACUACUCCCCAUGGACACGCCGUUUCAUUGCAAGAACAAGUCAAGUUAUGGAACUGUAUUCAGAACCCACUGCAAUCGAAAAACUGUUUGUUAGCAUCUGAAAUCUUGGCAUUUGGAAAGCAGGUGAGUUGGGCGCUGUGUAACCUUCCCGCAUGUCCUGUAAGUUUCCGUAGUGUAGUGGUUAUCACGUUCGCCUAACACGCGAAAGGUCCCCGGUUCGAAACCGGGCGGAAACAGAUGGACGUCCCCUCCUGCUUGACUCAGACGCUCAAUGGUGGCCCACUUAAACCCGCUUGAAUACUGAGUUCAAGGGGCUGGUAGACAUUUGUUAUCAGAGGCCCUCCCAUAACAUACCAAUAACAUUCCCAAAUCCCAUUUUAGCAGGCCCGGCUUAAAGGCAAGGAAUCCAUCUCCUGUCCUUCUCUGUGUACACCAUGGAAUAGGGUUCGGUGGUAGAGAAAGGUGACGUGAAGGGGUAACUUGAGUCCCAGUCAGAAUUUCUCAUCCCUUUUUUUCUUUUCUUGUUUUUUCCUCUGGCAGAUUGAGGCCCUCUUUGCAUGCAAUCUCAUUCAUUUGACCUCCUCCUUUGUAGGAUGGAAGGCUGACAGUUUGUCAGCUCACCUGGGCUGGAGAGCAGGAUGAGCUCCAAGCCCCCGGUCUUUGUGGGCUUAAAAUCAGCUGCUGGAGCAAAGGAAUAAUCUCCCCGUCGGGGAAUCGAACCCCGGUCUUCCGCGUGACAGGCGGAGAUACUGUCCACUAUACUAACGAGGACUCACGCGUUGCCACCUUCAGCGCGUCGAGCGCGGGCAUCGCUGAGUACCAGUGUUUACCAGGCGUACACAAAGGGUCUGAAAGAAGCAUGGCCAACUGCUGGGUGUCGUUUACAUCAGGGUUCCGUAACACUUCCGUUUCAGAAUCGUCCUCCAAGUCAAAACCGCCCACCAGAAGAAACCUCCUUUCCCUGGUGAGCUCCAUCUACCAUCCAUUGGGUAUCUUAGCACCAGUGCUUCUGCCAGCUAAAAGGAUCCUGCAAGAGCUCUGCAGGUUAAAGCUCAGCUGGGAUGACAUUGUACAAACUCGUCUUGCUCAGCAGUGGUUUGACUGGUUCAAGCAACUGCAACUACUCAGUGACUUGGGAGUUGACAGGUGUUUCAAACCAGCACAUUUUGGAGACCCUACCUUUACUCAGCUGCAUCAUUUCAGUAAUGCUAGUGAAGAAGGUUAUGGAGCAGUGACCUACCUAGUCCUGCGAAACAGCAGCAAUCAGGUCCACAUCGCCCUUGUCAUGGGUAAAGCAAGGGUUGCUCCUAUCAAGCCUACCAACAAUCCCCGCUUGGAAUGAACAGCCGCAACCAUGGCAGGGCGCACAGAUAUGAUGUCGAAGAGAGAGCUACAGUCGCAGCUGCGGCUUGCGGACUCAGUGCUCUGGACAGAUAGCACGGCUGUUCUUAAGAACAUCAACAAUGAAAAAACUAGGUUCCGCACAUUCGUUGCCAACAGAGUGUCAGAAAUACUGACAGUGUCAAUCGUGGCAACAGAUGACAGACAAGAUGCAAGAGAGCAACUUAUAGAGCACUACUCCCCAUGGACACGCCGUUUCAUUGCAAGAACAAGUCAAGUUAUGGAACUGUAUUCAGAACCCACUGCAAUCGAAAAACUGUUUGUUAGCAUCUGAAAUCUUGGCAUUUGGAAAGCAGGUGAGUUGGGCGCUGUGUAACCUUCCCGCAUGUCCUGUAAUUUUCCGUAGUGUAGUGGUUAUCACGUUCGCCUAACACGCGAAAGGUCCCCGGUUCGAAACCGGGCGGAAACAGAUGGACGUCCCCUCCUGCUUGACUCAGACGCUCAAUGGUGGCCCACGUAAACCCGCUUGAAUACUGAGUUCAAGGGGCUGGUAGACAUUUGUUAUCAGAGGCCCUCCCAUAACAUACCAAUAACAUUCCCAAAUCCCAUUUUAGCAGGCCCGGCUUAAAGGCAAGGAAUCCAUCUCCUGUCCUUCUCUGUGUACACCAUGGAAUAGGGUUCGGUGGUAGAGAAAGGUGACGUGAAGGGGUAACUUGAGUCCCAGUCAGAAUUUCUCAUCCCUUUUUUUCUUUUCUUGUUUUUUCCUCUGGCAGAUUGAGGCCCUCUUUGCAUGCAAUCUCAUUCAUUUGACCUCCUCCUUUGUAGGAUGGAAGGCUGACAGUUUGUCAGCUCACCUGGGCUGGAGAGCAGGAUGAGCUCCAAGCCCCCGGUCUUUGUGGGCUUAAAAUCAGCUGCUGGAGCAAAGGAAUAAUCUCCCCGUCGGGGAAUCGAACCCCGGUCUUCCGCGUGACAGGCGGAGAUACUGUCCACUAUACUAACGAGGACUCACGCGUUGCCACCUUCAGCGCGUCGAGCGCGGGCAUCGCUGAGUACCAGUGUUUACCAGGCGUACACAAAGGGUCUGAAAGAAGCAUGGCCAACUGCUGGGUGUCGUUUACAUCAGGGUUCCGUAACACUUCCGUUUCAGAAUCGUCCUCCAAGUCAAAACCGCCCACCAGAAGAAACCUCCUUUCCCUGGUGAGCUCCAUCUACCAUCCAUUGGGUAUCUUAGCACCAGUGCUUCUGCCAGCUAAAAGGAUCCUGCAAGAGCUCUGCAGGUUAAAGCUCAGCUGGGAUGACAUUGUACAAACUCGUCUUGCUCAGCAGUGGUUUGACUGGUUCAAGCAACUGCAACUACUCAGUGACUUGGGAGUUGACAGGUGUUUCAAACCAGCACAUUUUGGAGACCCUACCUUUACUCAGCUGCAUCAUUUCAGUGAUGCUAGUGAAGAAGGUUAUGGAGCAGUGACCUACCUAGUCCUGCGAAACAGCAGCAAUCAGGUCCACAUCGCCCUUGUCAUGGGUAAAGCAAGGGUUGCUCCUAUCAAGCCUACCAACAAUCCCUGCUUGGAAUGAACAGCCGCAACCAUGGCAGGGCGCACAGAUAUGAUGUCGAAGAGAGAGCUACAGUCGCAGCUGAGGCUUGCGGACUCAGUGCUCUGGACAGAUAGCACGGCUGUUCUUAAGAACAUCAACAAUGAAACAACUAGGUUCCGCACAUUCGUUGCCAACAGAGUGUCAGAAAUACUGACAGUGUCAAUCGUGGCAACAGAUGACAGACAAGAUGCAAGGGAGCAACUUAUAGAGCACUACUCCCCAUGGACACGCCGUUUCAUUGCAAGAACAAGUCAAGUUAUGGAACUGUAUUCAGAACCCACUGCAAUCGAAAAACUGUUUGUUAGCAUCUGAAAUCUUGGCAUUUGGAAAGCAGGUGAGUUGGGCGCUGCAUAACCUUCCCGCAUGUCCUGUAGGUUUCCGUAGUGUAGUGGUUAUCACGUUCGCCUAACACGCGAAAGGUCCCCGGUUCGAAACCGGGCGGAAACAGAUGGACGUCCCCUUCUGCUUGACUCAGACGCUCAAUGGUGGCCCACUUAAAAACGCUUGAAUACUGAGUUCAAGGGGCUGGUAGACAUUUGUUAUCAGAGGCCCUCCCAUAACAUACCAAUAACAUUCCCAAAUCCCAUUUUAGCAGGCCCGGCUUAAAGGCAAGGAAUCCAUCUCCUGUCCUUCUCUGUGUACACCAUGGAAUAGGGUUUGGUGGUAGAGAAAGGUGACGUGAAGGGGUAACUUGAGUCCCAGUCAGAAUUUCUCAUCCCUUUUUUUCUUUUCUUGUUUUUUCCUCUGGCAGAUUGAGGCCCUCUUUGCAUGCAAUCUCAUUCAUUUGACCUCCUCCUUUGUAGGAUGGAAGGCUGACAGUUUGUCAGCUCACCUGGGCUGGAGAGCAGGAUGAGCUCCAAGCCCCCGGUCUUUGUGGGCUUAAAAUCAGCUGCUGGAGCAAAGGAAUAAUCUCCCCGUCGGGGAAUCGAACCCCGGUCUUCCGCGUGACAGGCGGAGAUACUGUCCACUAUACUAACGAGGACUCACGCGUUGCCACCUUCAGCGCGUCGAGCGCGGGCAUCGCUGAGUACCAGUGUUUACCAGGCGUACACAAAGGGUCUGAAAGAAGCAUGGCCAACUGCUGGGUGUCGUUUACAUCAGGGUUCCGUAACACUUCCGUUUCAGAAUCGUCCUCCAAGUCAAAACCGCCCACCAGAAGAAACCUCCUUUCCCUGGUGAGCUCCAUCUACCAUCCAUUGGGUAUCUUAGCACCAGUGCUUCUGCCAGCUAAAAGGAUCCUGCAAGAGCUCUGCAGGUUAAAGCUCAGCUGGGAUGACAUUGUACAAACUCGUCUUGCUCAGCAGUGGUUUGACUGGUUCAAGCAACUGCAACUACUCAGUGACUUGGGAGUUGACAGGUGUUUCAAACCAGCACAUUUUGGAGACCCUACCUUUACUCAGCUGCAUCAUUUCAGUGAUGCUAGUGAAGAAGGUUAUGGAGCAGUGACCUACCUAGUCCUGCGAAACAGCAGCAAUCAGGUCCACAUCGCCCUUGUCAUGGGUAAAGCAAGGGUUGCUCCUAUCAAGCCUACCAACAAUCCCCGCUUGGAAUGAACAGCCGCAACCAUGGCAGGGCGCACAGAUAUGAUGUCGAAGAGAGAGCUACAGUCGCAGCUGCGGCUUGCGGACUCAGUCCUCUGGACAGAUAGCACGGCUGUUCUUAAGAACAUCAACAAUGAAACAACUAGGUUCCGCACAUUCGUUGCCAACAGAGUGUCAGAAAUACUGACAGUGUCAAUCGUGGCAACAGAUGACAGACAAGAUGCAAGGGAGCAACUUAUAGAGCACUACUCCCCAUGGACACGCCGUUUCAUUGCAAGAACAAGUCAAGUUAUGGAACUGUAUUCAGAACCCACUGCAAUCGAAAAACUGUUUGUUAGCAUCUGAAAUCUUGGCAUUUGGAAAGCAGGUGAGUUGGGUGCUGUGUAACCUUCCCGCAUGUCCUGUAAGUUUCCGUAGUGUAGUGGUUAUCACGUUCGCCUCACACGCGAAAGGUCCCCGGUUCGAAACCGGGCGGAAACAGAUGGAUGUCCCCUCCUGCUUGACUCAGAUGCUCAAUGGUGGCCCACUUAAACCCGCUUGAAUACUGAGUUCAAGGGGCUGGUAGACAUUUGUUAUCAGAGGCCCUCCCAUAACAUACCAAUAACAUUCCCAAAUCCCAUUUUAGCAGGCCCGGCUUAAAGGCAAGGAAUCCAUCUCCUGUCCUUCUCUGUGUACACCAUGGAAUAGGGUUUGGUGGUAGAGAAAGGUGACGUGAAGGGGUAACUUGAGUCCCAGUCAGAAUUUCUCAUCCCUUUUUUUCUUGUUUUUUCCUCUGGCAGAUUGAGGCCCUCUUUGCAUGCAAUGUCAUUCAUUUGACCCCCUCCUUUGUAGGAUGGAAGGCUGACAGUUUGUCAGCUCACCUGGGCUGGAGAGCAGGAUGAGCUCCAAGCCCCCGGUCUUUGUGGGCUUAAAAUCAGCUGCUGGAGCAAAGGAAUAAUCUCCCCAUCGGGGAAUCGAAUCCCGGUCUUCCGUGUGACAGGCGGAGAUACUGUCCACUAUACUAACGAGGACUCACGCGUUGCCACCUUCAGCGCGUCGAGCGCGGGCAUCGCUGAGUACCAGUGUUUACCAGGCGUACACAAAGGGUCUGAAAGAAGCAUGGCCAACUGCUGGGUGUCGUUUACAUCAGGGUUCCGUAACACUUCCGUUUCAGAAUCGUCCUCCAAGUCAAAACCGCCCACCAGAAGAAACCUCCUUUCCCUGGUGAGCUACAUCUACCAUCCAUUGGGUAUCUUAGCACCAGUGCUUCUGCCAGCUAAAAGGAUCCUGCAAGAGCUCUGCAGGUUAAAGCUCAGCUGGGAUGACAUUGUACAAACUCGUCUUGCUCAGCAGUGGUUUGACUGGUUCAAGCAACUGCAACUACUCAGUGACUUGGGAGUUGACAGGUGUUUCAAACCAGCACAUUUUGGAGACCCUACCUUUACUCAGCUGCAUCAUUUCAGUGAUGCUAGUGAAGAAGGUUAUGGAGCAGUGACCUACCUAGUCCUGCGAAACAGCAGCAAUCAGGUCCACAUCGCCCUUGUCAUGGGUAAAGCAAGGGUUGCUCCUAUCAAGCCUACCAACAAUCCCCGCUUGGAAUGAACAGCCGCAACCAUGGCAGGGCGCACAGAUAUGAUGUCGAAGAGAGAGCUACAGUCGCAGCUGCGGCUUGCGGACUCAGUCCUCUGGACAGAUAGCACGGCUGUUCUUAAGAACAUCAACAAUGAAAAAACUAGGUUCCGCACAUUCGUUGCCAACAGAGUGUCAGAAAUACUGACAGUGUCAAUCGUGGCAACAGAUGACAGACAAGAUGCAAUGGAGCAACUUAUAGAGCACUACUCCCCAUGGACACGUCGUUUCAUUGCAAGAACAAGUCAAGUUAUGGAACUGUAUUCAGAACCCACUGCAAUCGAAAAACUGUUUGUUAGCAUCUGAAAUCUUGGCAUUUGGAAAGCAGGUGAGUUGGGCGCUGUGUAACCUUCCCGCAUGUCCUGUAAGUUUCCGUAGUGUAGUGGUUAUCACGUUCGCCUAACACGCGAAAGGUCCCCGGUUCGAAACCGGGCGGAAACAGAUGGACGUCCCCUCCUGCUUGACUCAGACGCUCAAUGGUGGCCCACUUAAACCCGCUUGAAUACUGAGUUCAAGGGGCUGGUAGACAUUUGUUAUCAGAGGCCCUCCCAUAACAUACCAAUAACAUUCCCAAAUCCCAUUUUAGCAGGCCCGGCUUAAAGGCAAGGAAUCCAUCUCCUGUCCUUCUCUGUGUACACCAUGGAAUAGGGUUCGGUGGUAGAGAAAGGUGACGUGAAGGGGUAACUUGAGUCCCAGUCAGAAUUUCUCAUCCCUUUUUUUCUUUUCUUGUUUUUUCCUCUGGCAGAUUGAGGCCCUCUUUGCAUGCAAUCUCAUUCAUUUGACCUCCUCCUUUGUAGGAUGGAAGGCUGACAGUUUGUCAGCUCACCUGGGCUGGAGAGCAGGAUGAGCUCCAAGCCCCCGGUCUUUGUGGGCUUAAAAUCAGCUGCUGGAGCAAAGGAAUAAUCUCCCCGUCGGGGAAUCGAACCCCGGUCUUCCGCGUGACAGGCGGAGAUACUGUCCACUAUACUAACGAGGACUCACGCGUUGCCACCUUCAGCGCGUCGAGCGCGGGCAUCGCUGAGUACCAGUGUUUACCAGGCGUACACAAAGGGUCUGAAAGAAGCAUGGCCAACUGCUGGGUGUCGUUUACAUCAGGGUUCCGUAACACUUCCGUUUCAGAAUCGUCCUCCAAGUCAAAACCGCCCACCAGAAGAAACCUCCUUUCCCUGGUGAGCUCCAUCUACCAUCCAUUGGGUAUCUUAGCACCAGUGCUUCUGCCAGCUAAAAGGAUCCUGCAAGAGCUCUGCAGGUUAAAGCUCAGCUGGGAUGACAUUGUACAAACUCGUCUUGCUCAGCAGUGGUUUGACUGGUUCAAGCAACUGCAACUACUCAGUGACUUGGGAGUUGACAGGUGUUUCAAACCAGCACAUUUUGGAGACCCUACCUUUACUCAGCUGCAUCAUUUCAGUGAUGCUAGUGAAGAAGGUUAUGGAGCAGUGACCUACCUAGUCCUGCGAAACAGCAGCAAUCAGGUCCACAUCGCCCUUGUCAUGGGUAAAGCAAGGGUUGCUCCUAUCAAGCCUACCAACAAUCCCCGCUUGGAAUGAACAGCCGCAACCAUGGCAGGGCGCACAGAUAUGAUGUCGAAGAGAGAGCUACAGUCGCAGCUGCGGCUUGCGGACUCAGUCCUCUGGACAGAUAGCACGGCUGUUCUUAAGAACAUCAACAAUGAAAAAACUAGGUUCCGCACAUUCGUUGCCAACAGAGUGUCAGAAAUACUGACAGUGUCAAUCGUGGCAACAGAUGACAGACAAGAUGCAAGGGAGCAACUUAUAGAGCACUACUCCCCAUGGACACGCCGUUUCAUUGCAAGAACAAGUCAAGUUAUGGAACUGUAUUCAGAACCCACUGCAAUCGAAAAACUGUUUGUUAGCAUCUGAAAUCUUGGCAUUUGGAAAGCAGGUGAGUUGGGCGCUGUGUAACCUUCCCGCAUGUCCUGUAAGUUUCCGUAGUGUAGUGGUUAUCACGUUCGCCUCACACGCGAAAGGUCCCCGGUUCGAAACCGGGCGGAAACAGAUGGACGUCCCCUCCUGCUUGACUCAGACGCUCAAUGGUGGCCCACUUAAACCCGCUUGAAUACUGAGUUCAAGGGGCUGGUAGACAUUUGUUAUCAGAGGCCCUCCCAUAACAUACCAAUAACAUUCCCAAAUCCCAUUUUAGCAGGCCCGGCUUAAAGGCAAGGAAUCCAUCUCCUGUCCUUCUCUGUGUACACCAUGGAAUAGGGUUCGGUGGUAGAGAAAGGUGACGUGAAGGGGUAACUUGAGUCCCAGUCAGAAUUUCUCAUCCCUUUUUUUCUUGUUUUUUCCUCUGGCAGAUUGAGGCCCUCUUUGCAUGCAAUCUCAUUCAUUUGACCUCCUCCUUUGUAGGAUGGAAGGCUGACAGUUUGUCAGCUCACCUGGGCUGGAGAGCAGGAUGAGCUCCAAGCCCCCGGUCUUUGUGGGCUUAAAAUCAGCUGCUGGAGCAAAGGAAUAAUCUCCCCGUCGGGGAAUCGAACCCCGGUCUUCCGCGUGACAGGCGGAGAUACUGUCCACUAUACUAACGAGGACUCACGCGUUGCCACCUUCAGCGCGUCGAGCGCGGGCAUCGCUGAGUACCAGUGUUUACCAGGCGUACACAAAGGGUCUGAAAGAAGCAUGGCCAACUGCUGGGUGUCGUUUACAUCAGGGUUCCGUAACACUUCCGUUUCAGAAUCGUCCUCCAAGUCAAAACCGCCCACCAGAAGAAACCUCCUUUCCCUGGUGAGCUCCAUCUACCAUCCAUUGGGUAUCUUAGCACCAGUGCUUCUGCCAGCUAAAAGGAUCCUGCAAGAGCUCUGCAGGUUAAAGCUCAGCUGGGAUGACAUUGUACAAACUCGUCUUGCUCAGCAGUGGUUUGACUGGUUCAAGCAACUGCAACUACUCAGUGACUUGGGAGUUGACAGGUGUUUCAAACCAGCACAUUUUGGAGACCCUACCUUUACUCAGCUGCAUCAUUUCAGUAAUGCUAGUGAAGAAGGUUAUGGAGCAGUGACCUACCUAGUCCUGCGAAACAGCAGCAAUCAGGUCCACAUCGCCCUUGUCAUGGGUAAAGCAAGGGUUGCUCCUAUCAAGCCUACCAACAAUCCCCGCUUGGAAUGAACAGCCGCAACCAUGGCAGGGCGCACAGAUAUGAUGUCGAAGAGAGAGCUACAGUCGCAGCUGCGGCUUGCGGACUCAGUCCUCUGGACAGAUAGCACGGCUGUUCUUAAGAACAUCAACAAUGAAAAAACUAGGUUCCGCACAUUCGUUGCCAACAGAGUGUCAGAAAUACUGACAGUGUCAAUCGUGGCAACAGAUGACAGACAAGAUGCAAUGGAGCAACUUAUAGAGCACUACUCCCCAUGGACACGCCGUUUCAUUGCAAGAACAAGUCAAGUUAUGGAACUGUAUUCAGAACCCACUGCAAUCGAAAAACUGUUUGUUAGCAUCUGAAAUCUUGGCAUUUGGAAAGCAGGUGAGUUGGGCGCUGUGUAACCUUCCCGCAUGUCCUGUAAGUUUCCGUAGUGUAGUGGUUAUCACGUUCGCCUAACACGCGAAAGGUCCCCGGUUCGAAACCGGGCGGAAACAGAUGGACGUCCCCUCCUGCUUGACUCAGACGCUCAAUGGUGGCCCACUUAAACCCGCUUGAAUACUGAGUUCAAGGGGCUGGUAGACAUUUGUUAUCAGAGGCCCUCCCAUAACAUACCAAUAACAUUCCCAAAUCCCAUUUUAGCAGGCCCGGCUUAAAGGCAAGGAAUCCAUCUCCUGUCCUUCUCUGUGUACACCAUGGAAUAGGGUUCGGUGGUAGAGAAAGGUGACGUGAAGGGGUAACUUGAGUCCCAGUCAGAAUUUCUCAUCCCUUUUUUUCUUGUUUUUUCCUCUGGCAGAUUGAGGCCCUCUUUGCAUGCAAUCUCAUUCAUUUGACCUCCUCCUUUGUAGGAUGGAAGGCUGACAGUUUGUCAGCUCACCUGGGCUGGAGAGCAGGAUGAGCUCCAAGCCCCCGGUCUUUGUGGGCUUAAAAUCAGCUGCUGGAGCAAAGGAAUAAUCUCCCCGUCGGGGAAUCGAACCCCGGUCUUCCGCGUGACAGGCGGAGAUACUGUCCACUAUACUAACGAGGACUCACGCGUUGCCACCUUCAGCGCGUCGAGCGCGGGCAUCGCUGAGUACCAGUGUUUACCAGGCGUACACAAAGGGUCUGAAAGAAGCAUGGCCAACUGCUGGGUGUCGUUUACAUCAGGGUUCCGUAACACUUCCGUUUCAGAAUCGUCCUCCAAGUCAAAACCGCCCACCAGAAGUAACCUCCUUUCCCUGGUGAGCUCCAUCUACCAUCCAUUGGGUAUCUUAGCACCAGUGCUUCUGCCAGCUAAAAGGAUCCUGCAAGAGCUCUGCAGGUUAAAGCUCAGCUGGGAUGACAUUGUACAAACUCGUCUUGCUCAGCAGUGGUUUGACUGGUUCAAGCAACUGCAACUACUCAGUGACUUGGGAGUUGACAGGUGUUUCAAACCAGCACAUUUUGGAGACCCUACCUUUACUCAGCUGCAUCAUUUCAGUGAUGCUAGUGAAGAAGGUUAUGGAGCAGUGACCUACCUAGUCCUGCGAAACAGCAGCAAUCAGGUCCACAUCGCCCUUGUCAUGGGUAAAGCAAGGGUUGCUCCUAUCAAGCCUACCAACAAUCCCCGCUUGGAAUGAACAGCCGCAACCAUGGCAGGGCGCACAGAUAUGAUGUCGAAGAGAGAGCUACAGUCGCAGCUGAGGCUUGCGGACUCAGUGCUCUGGACAGAUAGCACGGCUGUUCUUAAGAACAUCAACAAUGAAACAACUAGGUUCCGCACAUUCGUUGCCAACAGAGUGUCAGAAAUACUGACAGUGUCAAUCGUGGCAACAGAUGACAGACAAGAUGCAAGGGAGCAACUUAUAGAGCACUACUCCCCAUGGACACGCCGUUUCAUUGCAAGAACAAGUCAAGUUAUGGAACUGUAUUCAGAACCCACUGCAAUCGAAAAACUGUUUGUUAGCAUCUGAAAUCUUGGCAUUUGGAAAGCAGGUGAGUUGGGCGCUGCAUAACCUUCCCGAAUGUCCUGUAGGUUUCCGUAGUGUAGUGGUUAUCACGUUCGCCUAACACGCGAAAGGUCCCCGGUUCGAAACCGGGCGGAAACAGAUGGACGUCCCCUUCUGCUUGACUCAGACGCUCAAUGGUGGCCCACUUAAAAACGCUUGAAUACUGAGUUCAAGGGGCUGGUAGACAUUUGUUAUCAGAGGCCCUCCCAUAACAUACCAAUAACAUUCCCAAAUCCCAUUUUAGCAGGCCCGGCUUAAAGGCAAGGAAUCCAUCUCCUGUCCUUCUCUGUGUACACCAUGGAAUAGGGUUUGGUGGUAGAGAAAGGUGACGUGAAGGGGUAACUUGAGUCCCAGUCAGAAUUUCUCAUCCCUUUUUUUCUUUUCUUGUUUUUUCCUCUGGCAGAUUGAGGCCCUCUUUGCAUGCAAUCUCAUUCAUUUGACCUCCUCCUUUGUAGGAUGGAAGGCUGACAGUUUGUCAGCUCACCUGGGCUGGAGAGCAGGAUGAGCUCCAAGCCCCCGGUCUUUGUGGGCUUAAAAUCAGCUGCUGGAGCAAAGGAAUAAUCUCCCCGUCGGGGAAUCGAACCCCGGUCUUCCGCGUGACAGGCGGAGAUACUGUCCACUAUACUAACGAGGACUCACGCGUUGCCACCUUCAGCGCGUCGAGCGCGGGCAUCGCUGAGUACCAGUGUUUACCAGGCGUACACAAAGGGUCUGAAAGAAGCAUGGCCAACUGCUGGGUGUCGUUUACAUCAGGGUUCCGUAACACUUCCGUUUCAGAAUCGUCCUCCAAGUCAAAACCGCCCACCAGAAGAAACCUCCUUUCCCUGGUGAGCUCCAUCUACCAUCCAUUGGGUAUCUUAGCACCAGUGCUUCUGCCAGCUAAAAGGAUCCUGCAAGAGCUCUGCAGGUUAAAGCUCAGCUGGGAUGACAUUGUACAAACUCGUCUUGCUCAGCAGUGGUUUGACUGGUUCAAGCAACUGCAACUACUCAGUGACUUGGGAGUUGACAGGUGUUUCAAACCAGCACAUUUUGGAGACCCUACCUUUACUCAGCUGCAUCAUUUCAGUGAUGCUAGUGAAGAAGGUUAUGGAGCAGUGACCUACCUAGUCCUGCGAAACAGCAGCAAUCAGGUCCACAUCGCCCUUGUCAUGGGUAAAGCAAGGGUUGCUCCUAUCAAGCCUACCAACAAUCCCCGCUUGGAAUGAACAGCCGCAACCAUGGCAGGGCGCACAGAUAUGAUGUCGAAGAGAGAGCUACAGUCGCAGCUGCGGCUUGCGGACUCAGUCCUCUGGACAGAUAGCACGGCUGUUCUUAAGAACAUCAACAAUGAAACAACUAGGUUCCGCACAUUCGUUGCCAACAGAGUGUCAGAAAUACUGACAGUGUCAAUCGUGGCAACAGAUGACAGACAAGAUGCAAGGGAGCAACUUAUAGAGCACUACUCCCCAUGGACACGCCGUUUCAUUGCAAGAACAAGUCAAGUUAUGGAACUGUAUUCAGAACCCACGGCAAUCGAAAAACUGUUUGUUAGCAUCUGAAAUCUUGGCAUUUGGAAAGCAGGUGAGUUGGGCGCUGUGUAACCUGCCGCAUGUCCUGUAAGUUUCCGUAGUGUAGUGGUUAUCACGUUCGCCUCACACGCGAAAGGUCCCCGGUUCGAAACCGGGCGGAAACAGAUGGACGUCCCCUCCUGCUUGACUCAGACGCUCAAUGGUGGCCCACUUAAAAACGCUUGAAUACUGAGUUCAAGGGGCUGGUAGACAUUUGUUAUUAGAAGCCCUCCCAUAACAUACCAAUAACAUUCCCAAAUCCCAUUUUAGCAGGCCCGGCUUAAAGGCAAGGAAUCCAUCUCCUGUCCUUCUCUGUGUACACCAUGGAAUAGGGUUCGGUGGUAGAGAAAGGUGACGUGAAGGGGUAACUUGAGUCCCAGUCAGAAUUUCUCAUCCCUUUUUUUCUUUUCUUGUUUUUUCCUCUGGCAGAUUGAGGCCCUCUUUGCAUGCAAUCUCAUUCAUUUGACCUCCUCCUUUGUAGGAUGGAAGGCUGACAGUUUGUCAGCUCACCUGGGCUGGAGAGCAGGAUGAGCUCCAAGCCCCCGGUCUUUGUGGGCUUAAAAUCAGCUGCUGGAGCAAAGGAAUAAUCUCCCCGUCGGGGAAUCGAACCCCGGUCUUCCGCGUGACAGGCGGAGAUACUGUCCACUAUACUAACGAGGACUCACGCUUUGCCACCUUCAGCGCGUCGAGCGCGGGCAUCGCUGAGUACCAGUGUUUACCAGGCGUACACAAAGGGUCUGAAAGAAGCAUGGCCAACUGCUGGGUGUCGUUUACAUCAGGGUUCCGUAACACUUCCGUUUCAGAAUCGUCCUCCAAGUCAAAACCGCCCACCAGAAGAAACCUCCUUUCCCUGGUGAGCUCCAUCUACCAUCCAUUGGGUAUCUUAGCACCAGUGCUUCUGCCAGCUAAAAGGAUCCUGCAAGAGCUCUGCAGGUUAAAGCUCAGCUGGGAUGACAUUGUACAAACUCGUCUUGCUCAGCAGUGGUUUGACUGGUUCAAGCAACUGCAACUACUCAGUGACUUGGGAGUUGACAGGUGUUUCAAACCAGCACAUUUUGGAGACCCUACCUUUACUCAGCUGCAUCAUUUCAGUAAUGCUAGUGAAGAAGGUUAUGGAGCAGUGACCUACCUAGUCCUGCGAAACAGCAGCAAUCAGGUCCACAUCGCCCUUGUCAUGGGUAAAGCAAGGGUUGCUCCUAUCAAGCCUACCAACAAUCCCCGCUUGGAAUGAACAGCCGCAACCAUGGCAGGGCGCACAGAUAUGAUGUCGAAGAGAGAGCUACAGUCGCAGCUGCGGCUUGCGGACUCAGUGCUCUGGACAGAUAGCACGGCUGUUCUUAAGAACAUCAACAAUGAAACAACUAGGUUCCGCACAUUCGUUGCCAACAGAGUGUCAGAAAUACUGACAGUGUCAAUCGUGGCAACACAUGACAGACAAGAUGCAAUGGAGCAACUUAUAGAGCACUACUCCCCAUGGACACGCCGUUUCAUUGCAAGAACAAGUCAAGUUAUGGAACUGUAUUCAGAACCCACGGCAAUCGAAAAACUGUUUGUUAGCAUCUGAAAUCUUGACAUUUGGAAAGCAGGUGAGUUGGGCGCUGCGUAACCUUCCCGCAUGUCCUGUAAGUUUCCGUAGUGUAGUGGUUAUCACGUUCGCCUCACACGCGAAAGGUCCCCGGUUCGAAACCGGGCGGAAACAGAUGGACGUCCCCUCCUGCUUGACUCAGACGCUCAAUGGUGGCCCACUUAAACCCGCUUGAAUACUGAGUUCAAGGGGCUGGUAGACAUUUGUUAUCAGAGGCCCUCCCAUAACAUACCAAUAACAUUCCCAAAUCCCAUUUUAGCAGGCCCGGCUUAAAGGCAAGGAAUCCAUCUCCUGUCCUUCUCUGUGUACACCAUGGAAUAGGGUUCGGUGGUAGAGAAAGGUGACGUGAAGGGGUAACUUGAGUCCCAGUCAGAAUUUCUCAUCCCUUUUUUUCUUUUCUUGUUUUUUCCUGCAAUGGAGCAACUUAUAGAGCACUACUCCCCAUGGACACGCCGUUUCAUUGCGAGAAGAAGUCAAGUUAUGGAACUGUAUUCAGAACCCACGGCAAUCGAAAAACUGUUUGUUUUUUAUCUGAAAUCUUGGCAUUUGGAAAGCAGAUGAGUUGGGCACUGUGUACCCUUCCCUCAUUCGGUGGUAGAGAAAGGUGACAUGAAGGGGUAACUUGACUCCGAGUCAGAAUUUCUCAUCCCUUUUUUUCUUUUCUUGUUUUUUCCUGUGGCAGAUUGAGGCCCUCGUUGCAUGCAAUCUCAUUCAUUUGACCUCCUCCUUUGUAGGAUGGAAGGCUGACAGUUUGUCAGCUCACCUGGGCUGGAGAGCAGGAUGAGCUCCAAGCCACCGGUCUUUGUGGGCUUAAAAUCAGCUGCUGGAGCAAAGGAAUAAUCUCCCCGUCAGGGAAUUGAACCCCGGUCUACCGCAUAACAGGCGGAGAUACUGUCCUCUAUACUAACAAGGACUCACGCAUUGCAACCUUCAGUGCAUUGAGCGCGGGCAUCGCUGAGUACCAGUGUUUACCAGGCAUACACAAAGGGUCUGAAAGAAGCAUGGGGUGUCGUUUACAUCAGGGUUCCGUAACACUUCCGUUUCAGAAUCGUCCUCCAAGUCAAAACCGUCCACCAGAAGAAACCUCCUUUCCCUGGUGAGCUCCAUCUACCAUCCAUUGGGUAUCUUAGCACCAGUGCUUCUGCCAGCUAAAAGGAUCCUGCAAGAGCUCUACAGGUUUGACCUCCUUUGUAGGACGGAAGGCUUACAGCAGUGGUGGCCGGUAUAAGAGGGCGUUGUGGGCGGAGUUCUGCCUCAGCUGUGUGAGCAAAAAGAGAUAUCUGCUGUUUCCCUGAGAAUUAUUUUCAAAGUAAGGAAAUGGCGCUAUCAUAUUAAUCAUUCCAAUAAAUGUGUAUUUCAGUCGUGUAGCGAUCUCUCCACCCAGUGCCAGGGCAGAGUCUGAACGUCUGUUGUCUCACGUAUGCUCAGAUCACAGCUGUGCAUUAAUGCUAGUGGCGCUAUGGGCCAGCGCCCAAGCUUUCUGUGCUUUCACGCAUGCUCAGAUCACAAUUCAGCAUUAAGGAGUUAACUUAUCCUAGCCAAAUAAAAAAAAUCCUUAAGGGGCGCCAGGGAUGAGCGCCCAAGCGUCCCUAAUUUGAAUGACGCAAGCACGUUCAUAACCAGAUUGGUUACAAACGGACAUAUAGCUACAAUGUGCGUCUGACGUAGCUAGCUGCUCUACUCGGAGCCAGUCUGCCCCUCACUCUGCACUUGGCUGCUAAUGACAGAAGACGUGGGAAUGGCUUCCGCAAACUCCCUACCAAGUGAUUUACCAGAGAACGCCGUGCUGACCAUCAAGUAGGUCCCGUUUAAGAGGAGAACUCUACAGGACAGACUAAAGCUGAAAGAGCUCGGUCCAGAUUGACCAGACAUCGCCGCUCAGCAACUGACCACCAAGAAGAGCAGAUAAUAUGUGCGGACAUUUUCAAGAGCAGGGUAUAGG